GACGAACGCUGGCGGCGUGCUUAACACAUGCAAGUCGAACGAAGAGCGAUGGAAGCUUGCUUCUAUCAAUCUUAGUGGCGAACGGGUGAGUAACGCGUAAUCAACCUGCCCUUCAGAGGGGGACAACAGUUGGAAACGACUGCUAAUACCGCGUACGAUCUAAUCACGGCAUCGAGGAUGGAUGAAAGGUGGCCUCUAUUUAUAAGCUAUCACUGAAGGAGGGGAUUGCGUCUGAUUAGCUAGUUGGAGGGGUAACGGCCCACCAAGGCGAUGAUCAGUAGCCGGUCUGAGAGGAUGAACGGCCACAUUGGGACUGAGACACGGCCCAGACUCCUACGGGAGGCAGCAGUGGGGAAUCUUCCGCAAUGGACGAAAGUCUGACGGAGCAACGCCGCGUGAGUGAUGACGGCCUUCGGGUUGUAAAGCUCUGUUAAUCGGGACGAAAGGCCUUCUUGCGAAUAGUUAGAAGGAUUGACGGUACCGGAAUAGAAAGCCACGGCUAACUACCUGCCAGCAGCCGCGGUAAUACGUACGUGGCAAGCGUUGUCCGGAAUUAUUGGGCGUAAAGCGCGCGCAGGCGGAUUGGUCAUUCUGUCUUAAAAGUUCGGGGCUUAACCCCGUGAUGGGAUGGAAACUGCCAAUCUAAAGUAUCGGAAAGGAAAGUGGAAUUCGUAGUGUAGCGAUGAAAUGAGUAGAUAUUAAGAAGACACACCAGUGGCGAAGGUGACUUUCUAGACGAAAACUGACGCUGAGGCGCGCAAGCCAGGGGAGCGAA
rnacentral:rRNA from 1 species